rnacentral:rRNA from 1 species
GUCGAGAAUUUUUCUCAAUGGGGGCAACCCUGAAGGAGCGACGCCGCGUGGAGGAUGAAGGUCUUCGGAUUGUAAACUCCUGUCAUUAGGGAACAAACCUCCCGGUUAACUGCCGGAGAGCUGAUAGUACCUGAAGAGGAAGGGACGGCUAACUCUGUGCCAGCAGCCGCGGUAAUACAGAGGUCCCAACCGUUGUUCGGAUUCAUUGGGCGUAAAGGGUGCGUAGGCGGCGGAGUAAGUCAGGUGUGAAAUCUCGGGGCUCAACCCCGAAACUGCACUUGAUACUGCUUCGCUAGAGUACUGGAGAGGAGACUGGAAUUUACGGUGUAGCAGUGAAAUGCGUAGAUAUCGUAAGGAAGACCAGUGGCGAAGGCGAGUCUCUGGACAGUUACUGACGCUGAGGCACGAAGGCCAGGGGAGCAAACGGGAUUAGAUACCCGGGUAGUCC